rnacentral:rRNA from 1 species
GUGGCCUUCGGGAACCGUGAGACAGGUGCUGCAUGGCUGUCGUCAGCUCGUGUUGUGGAAAUGUGGUUAAGUCCGCAACGAGCGCAACCCCUUAUCCUUUGUUGCCAGCGGUCCGGCCGGGAACUCAAAGGAGACUGCCAGUGAUAAACUGGAGGAAGGUGGGGAUGACGUCAAGUCAUCAUGGCCCUUACGACCAGGGCUACACACGUGCUACAAUGGCGCAUACAAAGAGAAGCGACCUCGCGAGAGCAAGCGGACCUCAUAAAGUGCGUCGUAGUCCGGAUUGGAGUCUGCAACUCGACUCCAUGAAGUCGGAAUCGCUAGUAAUCGUGGAUCAGAAUGCCACGGUGAAUACGUUCCCGGGCCUU